CAGUAGCCGCGGUAAAACAGAGGGUGCGAGCGUUAAUCGGAUUUACUGGGCGUAAAGCGUGCGUAGGCGGCUUCUUAAGUCGGAUGUGAAAUCCCUGAGCUUAACUUAGGAAUUGCAUUCGAUACUGGGAAGCUAGAGUAUGGGAGAGGAUGGUAGAAUUCCAGGUGUAGCGGUGAAAUGCGUAGAGAUCUGGAGGAAUACCGAUGGCGAAGGCAGCCAUCUGGCCUAAUACUGACGCUGAGGUACGAAAGCAUGGGGAGCAAACAGGAUUAGAGACCCCUGUAGUCCCUGUCUCUAUACA
rnacentral:rRNA from 1 species